GUAAGUCUUGGAUGUAAUGAACCAGGAUUUGGAACACUGCCAUGAAAAGAACAGCUGGCCCCAGGCCAUCUCUUGCACAAGUGACAAGACACAUAAUUGUGACUGGACAUGACACUUGGUCUGAAUGUCUUUAACAACUUCUACAGGAAAUCAGCCCUCUGUGUAUCAGGUGAAGAUCUGUUUUCAUCGUCACAGGAACAAUAGCCCUGAUUUUCAACGUGCUGGUUUGCAAAAAAGGUUUUUCCUCCUGCUACCCAUCCUGAGUUUGAAAGAUUUCUGACAUUGUACAUGAACAAGGAUCAACAGAAACCUGACCUUCAGCAGCACAAAGUUAUCAUAGCCCAGCCUAUGCUGAGCCUCUUCCUCUCAGUCUACUUCAAGACAACUACUACAAAUCUACUGUUAAAAAUAUUCUAUAAAGAAAUUACCUGUUUCAUCAGUCUCUCAUGCCUACAGGCUGCAGAAGACAACAGCACUGAAUUCUAGAAAAAGAACACCUCUUUCUAUUUCACAGAAGACGCACAAACUUGAGAGGACUUCCCAAGCAAACGAGAUCUGCCCACCUCUAUUCACUACUUGCAAGCAAUGGGAAAGCCUGAGUAGAGGAGGCAAGGCUCCCACAGGACUCUGGACAUGGCCAUCAGCUGUGCUCAAGUGCCUUCACUUGCAGAAAUAGAAGUUAAAACCAGGGAAAGGAUGAAAUCCUGCUGUUUGUAGGGUCCACUAUUUGACCCCAGCAAACAGCCCAGUAAUUUUGUAACUACCUCAAUUGGUAACGUUGAAGCACGGUUUAGCCCCUAACUAAACGGGAUCCUGGAAUGCUCAGGUGUCCCUAGACACAGAAUUUACCUGCCUGUGUUCAGUGUGGCACACAGCUCACACCAUUAUGAGCCAUUUUUGUGCCAAAACAUCCCACUCCACGCACAGCUCUGAGGUACUCAGGAAACAGCAGAGCCACAUUCUCCUGCCCCGCGCCCCAAGUGCAGCAUGCAAUUCCAUUUACUCACCUUCGUGUUCCAGCCAGUGCAACAGCAACAUUAAACAGCCUCUGAGCCACCUGAUUUGCUGUGGACAACUGUAAGAGACAGCCCUCUGUGCUCAGAGCAAACUAAAUAAAGCAAUUCAGCUUCUUAGCGCAACCCUCUGUAUGCAAGCUGCAAACACCCCAAAAGAAGGGAUGCUGGGGAAUUAGGAGUCUUCUCAUGGUAUCAGUUUUUCAUACUCAGGUUUGUUUGCUUGGCCUUAUAUUCAAACCAAAAAUAAUUCUGUGUUGGGCUGAUUUUGGAGGGGUUGUGGGUUUGGGGAUUUUUUAACAUAACUUCCUCAUAAUAAACGAAAAAAGAGAAAGAAAAAAAAAAAAGUAUCACAUCCAUUUCACAGGUCAUUUAUCACAGCAUCUGCUUAAGUGAAGAAGCUUUCCACAACAGCUGCACAUGAGCAAACAUCUGGAUGGAUAAAGGAAGACAAUGAUUAAUUCUCAUUACAGUCUCUAGUUUACACAGAAAGAGAAAAUUGUAUUUCAAGACUAUUGAUCCAAGUCUAUACACACACAUAGAAGUUUCUAUUGUACAACUGGCUCAAAAGAAUUUGUCCUUGCAGUUCAUCCAAGCCCUUGAGAGAACAAAUAUUUUAGACACCUAUACUAGAGGUCAAUAUUAAAGUACCAACUUUGAAAUCAGAACUUACUGUUCUCAACAUCUCAUUAACUGACUAUCAUCUGCUGUUGAAAUUUCAUUAAAGCCAAUUCAGCCCAGA